UGAGGAAUAUUGGUCAAUGGGCGUGAGCCUGAACCAGCCAAGUAGCGUGCAGGAAGACGGCCCUAUGGGUUGUAAACUGCUUUUAUGCGGGGAUAAAGGAGUCCACGUGUGGAUUUUUGCAGGUACCACAUGAAUAAGGACCGGCUAAUUCCGUGCCAGCAGCCGCGGUAAUACGGAAGGUCCGGGCGUUAUCCGGAUUUAUUGGGUUUAAAGGGAGCGUAGGCUGUCUAUUAAGCGUGUUGUGAAAUUUACCGGCUCAACCGGUGGCUUGCAGCGCGAACUGGUCGACUUGAGUAUGCAGGAAGUAGGCGGAAUUCAUGGUGUAGCGGUGAAAUGCUUAGAUAUCAUGACGAACUCCGAUUGCGCAGGCAGCUUACUGUAGCAUAACUGACGCUGAUGCUCGAAAGUGCGGGUAUCAAACAGG
rnacentral:rRNA from 1 species